rnacentral:rRNA from 1 species
UACGGAGGGUGCAAGCAUUAAUCGGAUUUAUUGGGCGUAAAGAGGGCGUAGGCGGAAAUGUAAGUCAGAUGUGAAAGCCCGGGGCUCAACCCCGGAAUGGCAUUUGAGACUGCGUCUCUAGAGGGUAGGCGGAGAAAACGGAAUUCCACAUGUAGCGGUGAAAUGCGUAGAUAUGUGGAAGAACACCGGUGGCGAAGGCGGUUUUCUAGCUUAUACCUGACGCCGAGGCCCGAAAGCAAGGGGUGCAAACAGG